GCUUGUCUCAAAGAUUAAGCCAUGCAUGUCUAAGUAUAACUCUUUUACUUUGAAAACUGCGAACGGCUCAUUAUAUCAGUUAUAGUUUCUUUGAUAGUCCCUUACUACUUGGAUACCCGUAGUAAUUCUAGAGCUAAUACAUGCUAAAAAUCCCGACUUCGGAAGGGAUGUAUUUAUUAGAUUAAAAACCAAUGCCCUCCGGGGCUCACUGGUGAAUCAUAAUAACUAUACGGAUCGCACGGCCUUGCGCCGGCGAUGGUUCAUUCAAAUUUCUUCCCUAUCAACUUUCGAUGUUUGGGUCUUGGCCAAACAUGGUCGCAACGGGUAACGGAGGGUUAGGGCUCGACCCCGGAGAAGGAGCCUGAGAAACGGCUACUACAUCCAAGGAAGGCAGCAGG
rnacentral:rRNA from 1 species